GUGAAAUAUAAAUCGGACUAGGAUAUAGCUGGUUUUCUGCGAAAUCUGUUUGAGCAAAUUGUUUAUUGAAAUUCUUAGUAGGUAUAGCACUGAAUAUUUAAAAAAUAAGGAGAGUUGUUGACAACUAAUCUUGUAUAUUUAAUCUCAGAAUGACUAAGAACGAAAUUCUAAUAAGUAAUCAGACUUUUUGUGAUAAGGUAAAAAGUCGAAAGGGAAACAGCCCAGAACAGUAUUGAAAGCUCCCCAAUUAUUAUUAAG
rnacentral:rRNA from 1 species